GCCACAGUUCAGCCACCUCCGGCCACCGUGCGCCGCCACUUCGACCCGUCGAAGUCCCCUCGCCCUCCACCGGCCUUGUCUAGCUCGAAUCAGCCCCGGAUCCACCCCUUCCAGCAGCGAUCAGUGAGUGCAGAAAGUGGGUAUCGCAGAGGGUUUUGGCCCGUUUUGGCCGUUUUCCCGAGCCCGGAUGCUCGGCCCGCUUUAAGGAAAGUUGACCCUCGCGUCGAGCCCGUCGUUUUGAGACCUGGAUGAGGAGCUUGAGGAGCAUGAAUCUGAUGAGGAGAUCUCUGUUGAGGAACCCAAAGAGGAGCAUGUGGAGGAGGACCCCGAGUAUGACAUCGAGUACGACUCGGAUGAGGAUCGAAAUCCUAUCCUAUCUUGUCAGACCUUGUUUGCAUGUAAAAAGAUGUAGUUGUGAAUUUUCAGUAAGAAAAAUAUAUGGCCUGCUUUUCUAUCCCA